UCGGUAAAACUCGUGCCAGCCACCGCGGUUAUACGAAAGACCCUAGUUGAUAGCCACGGCGUAAAGGGUGGUUAAGGUAUAUAACAAAUAAAGCUAAAUAGCCUCUAGGCCGUCGCACGCAUUCCGAGAGCUCGAAACCCAAAAACGAAAGUAGCUUUAAAAUAAACAGACCUGACCCCACGAAAGCUAAGAAACAAACUGGGAUUAGAUACCCCACUAUG
rnacentral:rRNA from 1 species